UACUAGCGGUCCAAGUCGCAGCCAUUUUUAUUGGGUCUAAAACAUCCGUAGCUUGCUUGAUAAGUUUCUUGUGAAAUUUGAUGUCUCAAGCAUUAAGCGUGCAAGAAGUACUAUCAAGCUAGAGACUGGUAGACGUAAGAAGUACGUUCGAAGUAAUGGUAAAAUAUGUUAAUCUCGGACGGACUCACAAUAGCGAAGGCAUCUUACGAGGACAGUUCUGACAGUAAGGGAUGAAAGCUAGGGGCGCAAAACGGAUUAGAUACCCUCGUA
rnacentral:rRNA from 1 species